rnacentral:rRNA from 1 species
AGUGAACGCUGGCGGUAGGCCUAACACAUGCAAGUCGAACGGCAGCACAGUAAGAGCUUGCUCUUACGGGUGGCGAGUGGCGGACGGGUGAGGAAUACAUCGGAAUCUACUUUUUCGUGGGGGAUAACGUAGGGAAACUUACGCUAAUACCGCAUACGACCUACGGGUGAAAGCAGGGGAUCUUCGGACCUUUCGCGUAUCAAUGAGCCGAUGUCGUAUUAGCUAGUUGGCGGGGUAAAGGCCCACCAAGGCGACGAUCCGUAGCUGGUCUGAGAGGAUGAUCAGCCACACGGGAACUGAGACACGGUCCAGACUCCUACGGGAGGCAGCAGUGGGGAAUAUUGGACAAUGGGCGCAAGCCUGAUCCAGCCAUACCGCGUGGGUGAAGAAGGCCUUCGGGUUGUAAAGCCCUUUUGUUGGGAAAGAAAAGCAGCAGGUUAAUACCCCGCUGUUCUGACGGUACCCAAAGAAUAAGCACCGGCUAACUUCGUG